UUGCCAUGAUGAGUUACAUAAUUAUUGAUAGAAUCUAUGAGAGUAUUUUUAUGAGCUUUUUAACACUGAGCAAU